rnacentral:rRNA from 1 species
GUGGGGUAAUGGCUCACCAAGGCGACGACGGGUAGCCGGCCUGAGAGGGUGACCGGCCACACUGGGACUGAGACACGGCCCAAACUCCUACGGGAGGCAGCAGUGGGGAAUAUUGCACAAUGGGCGGAAGCCUGAUGCAGCGACGCCGCGUGAGGGAUGACGGCCUUCGGGUUGUAAACCUCUUUCAGUAGGGAAGAAGCGAGAGUGACGGUACCUGCAGAAGAAGCGCCGGCUAACUACGUGCCAGCAGUCGCGGUAAUACGUAGGGCGCAAGCGUUGUCCGGAAUUAUUGGGCGUAAAGAGCUCGUAGGCGGUUUGUCGCGUCUGCUGUGAAAGCCCGGGGCUCAACCCCGGGUCUGCAGUGGGUACGGGCAGACUAGAGCGCAGUAGGGGAGACUGGAAUUCCUGGUGUAGCGGUGAAAUGCGCAGAUAUCAGGAGGAACACCGAUGGCGAAGGCAGGUCUCUGGGCUGUUACUGACGCUGAGGAGCGAAAGCAUGGGGAGCGAACAGGAUUAGAUACCCUGGUAAUCCAUGCCGUAAACGUUGGGCACUAGGUGUGGGGGACAUUCCACGUUCUCCGCGCCGUAGCUAACGCAUUAAGUG